AUAUUAUUAAGUGGAGGAAAAGAAACCAAAAGGGAUUCCCCCAGUAGCGGCGAGCGAAAAGGGAUCUAGCCCAAAGCCGAAUCCCGUGUCCCUGGGGCAUCGGGAAAUGUGGCGUAUGGGAGGCGGUAUUUUCCGCGUGGGUGUCGGCGGCUCAAGUCCCCAUGAAUGGGGCUACGACCGUAGCGGGUGUGAGUCCCGUACAGCCGCCUUCCCCGCACGGAGCUCCGUUUUCCCGGGAGUCGGGUUGCUUGAAAGUGCAGCCCAAAGUGGGUGGUAUGCUCCACCUAAGGCUAAAUAUCCCCGAGAGACCGAUAGCAAAAAAGUACCGUGAGGGAAAGUUGAAAAGAACUUUGAAGAGAGAGUUCAAUAGUACGUGAAACCGCUUAGAGGUAAACGGGUGGGCCCUCGAAGUCAGGCGUCCGAAGGUUCACCGUUGGCGAUUCGAACGCGCUCGCUCUAAAGAGGGCUACGCCGCCGAAAGGCGGGCCCUCUUGGUAGCAGGGCGCUCGCCAACGCGCACUCCUUCGGUCCCCACGAGGCCGCGACGGGUUGGCCGACGGUUGGAAGGACGGUACGGCAGGUAGCCCGCUCCCUCAAAAGAGUCGGGUGUCUGGCCCUCCGUAUAGCCCGCCGCGCCGACCCGUGAAGAGAGAAUCCUCGCUCCCCGUCCCCGUUCAGCUGGCGGAUUCGUCGCUUCCUUCGGUCUGGGAUUUGCUACCUUUCUAGGUGCUUUCUCUAGCGAGGGUGGCGCUUCGGACCGCCUCGUCGGGAGGCUCAGGAGUCGGCGGUCAGUAGGCCGGGUCCCACCCGACCC
rnacentral:rRNA from 1 species